rnacentral:rRNA from 1 species
AACGAACGCUGGCGGCGUGCCUAACACAUGCAAGUCGAACGAGAAAGGGGCUUCGGCUCCGAGUAAAGUGGCGCACGGGUGAGUAACACGUAGGUAACCUGCCUCUAAGAUCGGGAUAACCUGUCGAAAGAUAAGCUAAUACCAAAUAAGACCACAGCUCCCUUGGGAGCAGAGGUCAAAGGUAGCCUCUCAAUGUAAGCUAUCACUUAGAGAUGGGCCUGCGUACCAGUAGCUAGUUGGUGGGGUAACGGCCUACCAAGGCAAAGAUGGUUAGCUGGUCUGAGAGGAUGAUCAGCCACACUGGAACUGAGACACGGUCCAGACUCCUACGGGAGGCAGCAGUGGGGAAUAUUGCGCAAUGGGCGAAAGCCUGACGCAGCAACGCCGCGUGAGUGAUGAAGGCCUUCGGGUCGUAAAGCUCUGUCGGAGGGAACGAAUGCUCUUGAGGUUAACAGCCUCAGGAAGUGACGGUACCCUCAAAGGAAGCACCGGCUAACUCUGUGCCAGCCGCCGCAGUAAAAC